ACCUGGGUGGCUCAGUCGGGUUGAGCUUCCGACUUCGGCUCAGGUCAUGAUUUUGCAGUUUGUGGGUUCGAGCCCCACAUCAGGCU
rnacentral:tRNA from 1 species